rnacentral:rRNA from 1 species
AGUGAACGCUGGCGGUAGGCCUAACACAUGCAAGUCGAACGGCAGCACAGUAAGAGCUUGCUCUUACGGGUGGCGAGUGGCGGACGGGUGAGGAAUACAUCGGAAUCUACUUUUUCGUGGGGGAUAACGUAGGGAAACUUACGCUAAUACCGCAUACGACCUACGGGUGAAAGCAGGGGAUCUUCGGACCUUGCGCGAUUGAAUGAGCCGAUGUCGGAUUAGCUAGUUGGCGGGGUAAAGGCCCACCAAGGCGACGAUCCGUAGCUGGUCUGAGAGGAUGAUGAGCCACACUGGAACUGAGACACGGUCCAGACUCCUACGGGAGGCAGCAGUGGGGAAUAUUGGACAAUGGGCGCAAGCCUGAUCCAGCCAUACCGCGUGGGUGAAGCAGGCCUUCGGGUUGUAAAGCCCUUUUGUUGGGAAAGAAAAGCAGCAGGUUAAUACCCCGCUGUUCUGACGGUACCCAAAGAAUAAGCACCGGCUAACUUCGUG